ensembl:lncRNA
GUUACAGCCCUGUUGAAUCUGCUGUGUGUCCUGCUGCUCUUUCUAACUCACUCAGAUAAUACUUCUCCUGACUCCACUCAGCAAUCAGCACUGAGGGCAAAGCUGGUGAAGGUAGAAAGUGUGUGUGAGCUGAUGUGGAUGUGAAGUUGGCAGCAUGGGUCAGUGUGUGGGAAGACAGCAAGCUUUGAGAGCUCUGACUACAGAGAGCUCAGAGAUUUCCACUGUUCACAUACUGAAGCAGGAGUUGCCCAGCCAUGAAGAGAGGGGUUCUCCGGAGGUGAAUGUCACACCAAAGCUGAAAGUUUCAACUGAGCUCCUCGAGAUCCUGAAUGAUUUAGAUGAUGUGGACUUUGACACCUUUAAGUGGCACCUCAAGUCUGAAUCGAAGAAAAACAUCAAGCCCAUCCAACAGAGCAGGCUGACGAAGGCAGAGCGGCAUGCAAUGGUGGAUCUCAUGGUGAAGAAGUAUGAGAUAAGUGGAGCUGUAGAAGUGAUGGAGAGCGUUUUAAUGAAGAUCAGCAGGAAUGACCUGGUGGAAAAGUUGAGACUCUUAACUGAGGAUGCAUAAAUCUGACAUUUAGAUCAGAUAUCGACCAAAUCCUGAGUAGAACAUCUGAAUUUAAUCUUGGUAACAAAACAAAUUUAAGACCAGUCCAUUCAGUUAAAUCCCAUUCAGGCAUUUAUUGGACAGAUGGUAAGAUAAUGUGUUCUGGCUCUUAAUUUUGCUUAAUUUUUACUGUGUGCAGAGAGAGGUGCACUCAGUGACAUCUGCCUGUCAAAUUUGCUUUGUUUUGUUUGUGUGCGCAGUGCUGAGAAAAUAGUCACAGUACUGUGUCCCUGUAAUUAACACAGAUGAAUAAACCCCAUCAUGUGCCCGCAAAACUCUCUCAGUCAGUUCAAUUUAUUAAAGAAGCCAAAU